rnacentral:rRNA from 1 species
CGGCAUGCCUAACACAUGCAAGUCGAACGAGACCUUCGGGUCUAGUGGCGCACGGGUGCGUAACGCGUGGGAACCUGCCUUUAGUUCGGAAUAACUCAGAGAAAUUUGAGCUAACACCGGAUAAUGUCUUCGGACCAAAGAUUUAUCGCCUUUAGAUGGGCCCGCGUAAGAUUAGCUAGUUGGUGGGGUAAAGGCCUACCAAGGCGACGAUCUUUAGCUGGUCUGAGAGGAUGAUCAGCCACACUGGGACUGAGACACGGCCCAGACUCCUACGGGAGGCAGCAGUGGGGAAUAUUGGACAAUGGGCGAAAGCCUGAUCCAGCAAUGCCGCGUGAGUGAUGAAGGCCUUAGGGUUGUAAAGCUCUUUUACCCGAGAUGAUAAUGACAGUAUCGGGAGAAUAAGCUCCGGCUAACUCCGUG